rnacentral:rRNA from 1 species
UUGAACGCUGGCGGCAGGCCUAACACAUGCAAGUCGAACGGUAACAGGAAGCAACUUGCUGCUUCGCUGACGAGUGGCGGACGGGUGAGUAAUGUCUGGGAAGCUGCCUGAUGGAGGGGGAUAACUACUGGAAACGGUAGCUAAUACCGCAUAAUGUCGCAAGACCAAAGAGGGGGACCUUCGGGCCUCUUGCCAUCGGAUGUGCCCAGAUGGGAUUAGCUUGUUGGUGGGGUAACGGCUCACCAAGGCGACGAUCCCUAGCUGGUCGGAGAGGAUGACCAGCCACACUGGAACUGAGACACGGUCCAGACUCCUACGGGAGGCAGCAGUGGGGAAUAUUGCACAAUGGGCGCAAGCCUGAUGCAGCCAUGCCGCGUGUAUGAAGAAGGCCUUCGGGUUGUAAAGUACUUUCAGCGGGGAGGAAGGGAGUAAAGUUAAUACCUUUGCUCAUUGACGUUACCCGCAGAAGAAGCACCGGCUAACUCCGUG